CACUCGGAUUAACGGAUCAGAUCAAAUGUUCUGCGGAGCAGACGCCGUGGUCUGCCGAUACCAGCUCCGCGUCCCCUUGAUCUCGCGAAUCUCACCAGCAGAAGCCCCAAUUUGCGGAUCUAUUCCACCCGACGUUGAUGAGCUGGUUAUGCCCGAGAAUUCCUCCGCUCCAGAUCCAGUCCUUUCCAUCUUCCCAUAACCGGUGCCCUACCUCCUCCGCGUAAUCUCAGCGCCAUCACACUACCAUGCCGCCCCCACGCGAGCUCAGCGCCGCCGCAUUCCCGUACCGCGCCCACGCCUGUCAGACGCCGCAGCUCCGCGCUCCCACCGUCACGCGUGCCCCGCGCCCUAGAUGCCCAGGCUAACUCCUAUAAUGGAUCCCGGGGGGUCCUAUCCUCCGGCGCUGAAGGGGACGGCGGCCUGAAGAACGACGAGUCUCAGAGGAGGACGAGCGGCGGGUGUAGCUGGUGCUCAACCGGGAGAGCGUGCACCUAUCGCUGCAGAGGAAGAAGCAGCGCUCGCCGCCACCCUUCACCACGUCCGCCGCCUCCCCCUGGUGCCGCGAGGCGCCUCACCGGCCGGAUCCACUCGAUCUGGGCAUGCCACUACCACAUCCCUCGAGGUAACUGAAGUACUGGACUAUGUGUAAACUGCCUCCACCACGCCCCAGUCUCACGGCGUCAGCUGCGUGAACGCGACCACCGUCGAUCCAUCCAGUUGCGGACGCGCCAGCCUUAACGCCAUCUCCUUCCACAUGCUGGCCUACUACUCGCGUGGACGCUCGCCACGAUCUGGAUGUCGCGCAGCCUCAGCAGCCUGACGCCACCCAUGAAUCAGGCCUAAUUACUUGGCCGUGAAAGGCGACAACGAUCAUGGAAUUAGUGGAUUCUCCUUGAUGAUGCGCUAUGACACAACAAUGUUACACAGUGAAUUGGUACUUUUCGUAGCAACUGGGUGGUGGAUCGAUUGAACUGAUUUGAGAGGAUUGUGCUUUGAUUUUCCGACUUCUUGCAGCUUGAGUACGAGGAAGAGAUGGAUCUGCCUCUGUUGGUGGGAGACAGACAAUGCCUUGUGCUGCUAUUUCCUAAAUAAGAUAUACACAUGUCUUCACACCGCCAUUGCUGUUGCGCCCAUAACGCAAGCUCCGGUGCCGCCGCGAUGUUGGUCCGCGAAGAGGAUGCAAACACUAUAGCUCUGAACUCCAUGCCAGACAUUGCUCUCAUUCUGUUGCUAUUGGUGUGGAGCGCCGAGGACGCAUGUCCCAUGGCCGCCGGUUCUUCCAGUCAGGGGAUGCGAAAUCUGCCACCAUCGUUUCUCUCUGUGCGCCGGUAUGUUUUGUGUGUGAUUUGAAGUUUGGCAACUGGCAUGAGAGAAAAACAUCAGUGGAUAUCUCCCAUCAAUUGCAGACAGUUGGUUUGUUACUUUAGACUGACGACUGAAUCCACGGGUAAUGUUUGCAGCAAUAAAACUGCAACCUUCAUUGUAGGACAAGUUCUACCUGAAUCUCAUGGUUUGUCUUCACAUAAUGUUCUCUUAGUCGGUUUGCAGCAUGCAGCAAGGUGAGCAACAAAUCAUCAUCGUGAGAUUUCUUUUCUAAGUGCUGAAGAAAGCUACUAAGCAAGUUCAUGCAUGUACAAACAUUUCUAAUUGCUGCUUUUAGAGAAGCCCCAGUUGUAGGUCAUAAAUUGCUUGGAAAAAUGCAACAUCGAUGCUAGAAUCCUGACGAGACUAUGACCGGUGAUGCAGAUUAUUUUGUAUGCUGAUGGUGCCGUGGCGGCUGCAUGCCGGAGGGCUGCAUACUUGACUUCUACAUCGCCAUCUUCAACAAGGAGAAGAUCUCCCUCGCUGGCCACGACGAGGUCCGCGCCUGCACUCCCAUUCCCAUUCUUUCUCCCCCUCCAGGAAUUGGGGUUUCUAUUGCUUUUUUUUUUGUUUGGUGUGUGCCUCUGGAGUAUACGGUGGCGGGCGGGCGGAACUUCUUGCCACUGCUCCCAGAGGCGUCAAAGUCGUCAAGCCCUCUGUAGUGAUCGGACGGGACUACCAGGUUCAGUCCCAUCUUGGCUUUACUAUGUCUCUAUACUUCUAUUCUACUGAAUAUUGUUCUUGGAGCUUCAAAGGCAAUUGCUUUACUGGUGAACAUGUAGGAGGAUUUGUGGUUUAGCGUUAUUAGACCUCUGUAAAUGCAUGUCUAGGAGGAUUCUUCGAGCUGUACUGUAUUAUGUAAGUCCAUCAAAGCUAUUUGCUUUAUUGGUGAACAUGUAUAGGAGGAUUCAUUAUUAGACCUCUGUACAUACAUGUUUGCUCUGUGCUAUAAAAAGACUCUCCUUUGGUGGUGAGCAUAAAAAGGAAGAAAUUUACUACUCGCAAUAAAAUUUAAUUGGGUGAACUAUAGAAGCUGACUUUGUUAGAGAAAGGUUCAGAACCCACCCAUUCUUUCUUGCAGGAUUGAGAAGAUUGUGACUUUGAAACCUUUUAGAGACUUUGUUAGAGGAAGGUUCAGAACCCACCCUUUCUUUCUUGCAGGAUUGAGAAGAUUGUGAUUUUGAAACCUUUUAGAUGUACAGAAAGAAAGCAGAUUGUGCUUGUACAUAAUGAUGGUCAGAAGGUCAAAUAUAUGGUAUGGGAAGUGGUUUCACUGAUUGUACUUGUACAGCAAGAGAGCAGAUUGUGUUUCCUUUCAGAAGAUAACUUUUGCCGGCCAUUGUGUUGCUUGCAAGCAGAAUACUUAUUGUUUUAGUUAUGUAAAUAAAGGGAAACUGCACCACAGUCAUCAUGCAAUUUGAUACAGCCUGUGAUAUAUCUUGCAUGUUUGAAUGUUUGAAACCAUUAUAUUGUAUGAAUACCUCUGCAGGUCAUUAGGUAGAGUUGGAGUCGGUUGUGUCGUACAUCUCUGGCCAACUUGUAGUUUGACUAAGGAAUUGUUGUAUUAAUGUGUUUUUUGUUAAUUCUGUAUGGUUGUUCUGUUGA